GACGAACGCUGGCGGCGUGCUUAACACAUGCAAGUCGAACGAAGUGGCGAACGGGUGAGUAACGCGUAAUCAACCUGCCCUUCAGAGGGGGACAACAGUUGGAAACGACUGCUAAUACCGCAUACUGAAGGAGGGGUUUGCGGCUGAUUAGCUCGUUGGAGGGGUAACGGCCCACCAAGGCGAUGAUCAGUCGCGGGUCUGGGAGGGUGGACGGCCACAUUGGGACUGAGACACAGCCCAGACUCCUACGGGAGGGAGCGGUGGGGAAUCGUCCGCAAUGGACGAAAAUCUGACGGAGCAACGCCGCGUGAGUGAGGACGGCCUUCGGGUGGUAAAGCUCUGUUAAUCGGGACGCGGUACCGAGAUAGAAAGCCACGGCUAACUACGUGCCAGCAGCCGCGGUAAUUC
rnacentral:rRNA from 1 species